CUGUAAAAAAAAUCCGUAAAAUAACGGACAUAUUUCAUGUGAAAUUGUGACGGAACCGGUCUGUUAAAUACAAUACAGAACAUUUUCCGUUUCGCAAAGCAUCAUGGGUAGUUUUUCCCUCAGCACCUGCACAGCGUCGGCCAUUACUCGCCUCGGCUCGUCUGCCUGUUUGCCCGCCUGCUCACACACCCUGGCUUUUAGCGUCACAUUGGAGGAGAAAGGUUGGUUGUGUGUUUAAUGAACUGGAAUCGAGUCCAAUUUCUCAAACAAAAUAUAAAUGUUGAGUUAAUUUUCCAUUUAUUUGUGUCUGGCUGGUGGGCUGCACAGCGGUGUAGUGGUUAGCACUUUCGCCUUGCAGCAAGAAGAUCUCGGUUCGAAUCCCAGGUUGGGCCUGGGAUCUUUCUGCAUGGAGUUUGCAUGUUCUCCCUGUGCAUGCGUGGGUUUUCUCCGGGUACUCCGGCUUCCUCCCACAGUCCAAAAAUAUGCUGAGGUUCAUUGGUUACUCUAAAUUGCCCGUAGGUGUGAGUGUGAUUGUUAGUCUGUAUAUGUAGCCCUGUGACAGACCAGCGACCUGUCCAGGGUGUCCCCUGCCUUCGCUCAAGUCAGCUGGGAUAGGCUCCAGCACCCCCCGCGACCCUAAUGAGGAUAAAGCGGUGUAUAGAGGAUGGAUGGAUGUGUCUGGCUGGCGGGCGGGCUUUCUGUCCUAGCUCCCCUUGCUAGUCAGACAGCCCCCGUUCCCUCGGUGAAAAGUAAGAUAAUUUAUCGUUGGUUCAUUUUAUUUUAGGGGUUAGUGCAAUGAGUUAUUUUUUAAAAAAUAUAUAAAGUAUAUGGAAGAGUGUUAAUGUUAAAAUGAUAGCUUAGUGGCAUCCGAGCCGAGCAGUUAGCAUGCUAUGUAGUAGUAGUAGCAGCCAGUAGCCGCUCGCUUCGUUAGCAUUAGCUGGCGCGAUUUAGGACCAACAAGACCAUUGUGUCCCCCCUGGCCCCCUCACACACUAAACUGGUUUUGUUGGUCAGUUGGUAGUCUAGUAAGUAUCGUGUCUUGAAUGUGUGCGGUAUUGUUAAACGUGGGUCAUUAAUGAGUCAUUAGUCCGUGUUAGCCCGCUAAUGGGCGCGCGGUCUCCCCAGACUUCCCAUAUCUUUCCGGUGUAGCUGCACCGCCCGCGUGCGCCGAGCCGUGCAAGAAAUCAAUGUCAUACGGCAGAGUAAACAUUUUUGCAUUUGUUAGCUUCGUGUGGUUGUCUACUUUAGUCAGGGGCUCAGUGUGUUUCAUCCAGUCUGAAGCUAUGUUGGGUUCACGGAUCACUCUGUGGUGGCUUUGUUUGCAUUUGGAGGUGCGUGUGUGUCAUUUUGCUUGAUCGUCGGCGAAACGCGUCAUAAUACCUGGCGUGCUUAUGCUAUUUUGAAGGCUAGAUGUCUAUCUCUUCUUAAACAUGUUGGCUUGUAACAUUUGUGGCUUUAAUGCCAAAUCUUCGACGGAUUACUUGAAACACUGCAGAGCACACAGAAAUAAUAGUAAUGUGUUUUUUUUAUGUGGCCACAGAGAUUGUGGAAGGAAGCUUAGCACAUACAAUAGCCUUGCUGUGCAUAUGGCACGAACACAUGUAGACAGAAGGAGCACUCAAACAUGGAACCGCAAUGUGUCUGUACAGUUAAAGUGCUCAUUCAUUUUUUGCAGCAGUGAAUAUGGUGAUCUGAAAAGUCUUAGGUGUCAUAUGAGUGGUCAUAUAGAAGAGGGUCUGACUGUAAUGUGUCCCUUUGAUAGAUGCUCUAAGACAUUUAAUGUUAAGUCAUCUUUUUUAUCACAUCUGUCCAGAUACCAUAAAGGGUGGGAUGUUACCAAGAUAGCCCCUGUACAUUUAUGUGAAGUCACAGAACAGUCUUUGCAAGGUGAAGGAUCACACAUAGAACCUGAAGAACCUGAAAGUUUUAAUGUAGAUACAGGACACAGUGAUAAUUUUGAAAGUGAUCAACAGAAAGACAAUUACACAGAGAGUCUUGCUCAGUUUUACUUGGGUUUGCAGGCUAAAUAUUUGGUCCCAGCCUCAACAAUAACAGAAAUGGUAAAUGAAAUGAGAACUCUCAGUGAUAUUCAACAGGAAUAUACUAUGGAUGUGCUAGCUCGUGAACUUGAGCAGUAUGGUGUUCCAAAGGAGACAUUAACAUGUCUUGGGAAUAGAUUAUAUGAGCAGAGCCCUAUGCACAAGGCUUUACAUGAAAACGGUCCUUUAACUACACAGCACAGAAGACUGAAAUAUUACAAGGCACACUAUGACUAUGUUGAGCCUGUUGAGGUCUAUCUCGGUCGCAAUAGCAAUGGGGAGAAGAGACAUUAUCAUUACAUUCCAGUGCUGGAAACCCUCAGAGUAAUUCUUAAACAGCGAGGUAUAGAGCCGCACAGUUCUAGUACUAAUGUUGAAGAUGAUGUCCUCUCUGAUGUCAAUGAUGGGUGGGCUAUCAAAAAUAAUGCCAUGUUUUCCUCAGACCCAGAUUGUUUAAAGGUCAUGCUUUUUCAGGAUGCGUUUGAAGUCGCUAAUCCGUUGGGGUCUGCCAAGACAAAGCAUAAAGUUUUAGGUGUCUACUUCACUCUAGGAAAUUUUCAUCCACAUCAGCGAUCAACUGUUGAUCAAAUACAGUUGGCAUUACUCUGUGCAGAGAAAGAUUGUAAAUAUUUUGGAAUUGAUAAGGUUUUCAAUAAGCUUGUGUCAGACUUGUGUAUGCUGGAGGAAAAGGGCAUAUCUUUUGGUGGAAAGAUAUAUAAGGGCACUGUUGCAUGCACAAUGGGAGACAAUCUGGGUUCCCACAUGAUUGGUGGCUUCACAGAAAAUUUCAGCUCAGCAGAAUAUUUCUGUAGAUACUGUUUAGCAACAAAAAAGGAAUUUCAGUCUAAUCCUCUCACAGUUUUCACUCAUAGAAAUCCAGCUGAUUACAAAGAGACUGUGCAGCUUCUGGAAAGUAACGAUGAUAUAGUCACUCAUCAUGGUGUGAAACGUAACAGUGUUUUCAACAAACUGUCUAACUUCCAUGUCUGUCAACCAGGGCUACCUCCGUGUCUGGCACAUGACACGUUCGAAGGGGUUGUUGAUUAUGAUUUAGCAAUUUGCUUGAAGUUCUUAAUCAAAACAGAAAAGUGGUUCAGCUAUGAGCUUCUUAAUGAAAGACUCCACUCAUUCCCCAGUGAAACCAGUGACAAGCUCAAUAUGAUUCCCACUACAGGAGCAAGGCUUGGAGGGCAUGCAGCCCAAAACAGGUGGCUUUUGAGAUUCUUGCCUAUUUUAGUGCAUGACAGAAUUAAAGAUGCUGACAAUGCAGUAUGGGAACUGGUACUACUUCUUAGAGAGCUUGUUGAAUUUGUGUGUGCACCUCGGCUCUCAGAGUCACAGAUUGCUUUUAUGAAGGGACUGAUUGAACUUUAUGUGGAGUUGAGGCAAGAGCUAUUCCCAAGAAUUCCACUUAGACCGAAACAUCACUAUCUGCUGCACUAUGCAGACUUGACUUUACAAUUUGGUCCACUCAUACAUACAUGGACUAUGCGCUUUGAAUCAAAGCAUUCUUAUUUUAAAAGGUGCAUCAGGGCAAGCAAAAACUUCAUAAAUGUAACAAAGUCUCUGGCUGAUCGACACCAGUUGUUUCAGGCUUAUCAGUCUACUGGUACUUUGUUUGGGCCCCAGGUUCAUGUCUCGGACUCUACACGGUUCUACCCAGAGCUCUAUCAGCAGAACAUAAAGACAGUGGUUGAAGAAUUUGAUUUGAACUCAAGUAACUCAGUUGUCACAGAGAAGGUCCAGGUUAAAGGCACUACAUAUGCAAAUGGUAUGCUUGUCUUACUGAGAUAUACCAAAGGACAACUACAGUUAGGACAAAUAGCAAGCAUUUUGUAAAAAAUGAAACUACUGUCCUACUUUUGCUUCGAGGGAAAACUGCCAGCUGGAUACCUGAGCUUGGACUCUAUGGAGUUCAUGAAAAAGAUUCUGACCAGUUCACCUGCCGUAAUCUGAGCACACUUGAUGAUUAUUAUCCACUUUCUUCUUACCAGAGAGGUGCAAGGUGGCUGAUUCCACUUAAACACACACCAACAUGGAAUUUGUAAAAGAUGUAGUUAAGAAAGCCAUGCCAUCACUCGGUAGCGACCAGAUGGAUGCCCUCAUGGCUAGACUGGAGGAAUUAGGAGUUCUAUCGGUAGAUGACCUGGCCCUUGUGGAUGCUGUGGAGAUUAAAGACACUCUGCCACUCAUUCAGUGCAAACGAUUCGUCAGAGCUAUCCAAGGUUUACAAGAAGAUUCACAAGCUGCACCACAGUUCACAAGCCCUGGACGCUCUACACCUGGACGCUCUACACCUGGACGCUCUACACCUGGACGCUCUACACCUGGACGCUCUACACCUGGCCCCUCUUCACCUGGCCCCUCUUCACCUGGCCCCUCUUCACCUGGAUGCUCAUCUACACCUCAGCGAAAGCAUUUUCAUCUGCCCCCAACAUCACUUGAAACGGCAGACUCCCCAACCCAUGAGACUUAUUCUGUACCAUGGCACAAAAUUUCCUCUAAAGUCAUGGAUUACCUGCAUAAAAAGAAGUACAUAAUGGGGAAACACAGGAGAGAAAUAGUUCGCAUAAUUGCUGAUGAUUACCUCCAUAAACACCCUGGAAGACCUGGUAGACAAAAGCUGAGGGAAAUCGCAAGUAUGAUUGUAGGGCAAUAUCCUGCCUCCUUCAAGCUGACAGAGCCAUUUGGAAAUAAACCAUUUGCAAAAGAUGGUUCAGAAACUCUCUUUCGCCAGCUGGAACACAGAGUUGAAAAUAUGGCAAGGCCACAGGGCUCACAGAAGACACGAGCAGCAGAUGAAGGUCCAACAAAGAGAAAGUCCAGAAGUUCAGCGCGGUAUGGAUGUGUGGAGUGGGAUCCUGUCAUUGAGGAGACAGUGUCGAGGGAAGACCUGCUGUCUAAACAAGAAGAAUUGAAACGUGCCUUCGAAACCAGUGAUCUUCAGGAGUCAUCGGUUCGAAAAUUGAUGAGUGAGACAUAUCCCCUCCAGCGUGAAACCAUCAACAAUGAAACAGAUGUUCGUGUCAUGAAGGACGAGUGGCCGUUCCUGUUUGAUGUUCCGUACCUUUUUGACCAUGCAUCCAAACUCCUUGGCUUCUCCGUACAAGACAAGCUGGCACAGGAACUUUCCAAAAAGGAAAAGGGCAUUACUGACUUCCUUGACUCAAAAGGAAUGAAGACUGGUGAAGGUCCAAUACAGCUGGUCUGUGGCAUUGCAAAAUACUUCAAGGAAGACCCUGAACAACUUUUCACCAAGAAAGAGGGUUUUCUUUGGGAUCAAUCCUGAGCGAGGCUCCAAGGCUGAGGUGACCGGGAAGAAACAGACCGGCAUUCCUCCAAAGGUGUCCAGGCUGGUGACUCAGCUUAAGGAGUUCGAAUGCAAGCAGAAGGAAUCUGAAUGGGCGAUUUGAGCUUUUUUCGAAGCGCAAAACAGAACUUUGUGGACUGAAAGUAACACACACAUGCAUACACAAUAUUUGUUUGAAUAGGUGAAUCCAAAAAAAUGGAGUUCUGAAGUAAAACAGUCUUUUACCAUAAUAUAAAUGUUCUUUUACAUGACUGUCCUCAAUAUUGAUUGCACUUGAACCUCUAGAGCUCACCACACACUUUGUGAGUCGAGAGGGUGACUUUCUUCUUCUGCAGGGUCAUUAUUUUGUGAAUACUGUAUGUCCUAAACAAAUCAGUUGUGUCCCUAAGUUCAGUGGAGGGACUUGGGUGAGGAGAUUGAUCUUUGCCACAGCAGGGUUUAAAAUUGGGCUGAGUUUGUCAAUGUGGAGAAUGGGGAGUGGGGAGUUGUAGGACAGUUUCUGCGUCUCCCCAGGGGGGGCUUCUCAUUUUGCACGUGACAGGUGAGCCGACAUCAACAGUGGCAAAUGGUGAUGGUGCCAGGGAUGGCCCGUUGUUUUUUUUUGUUUUUUGUUGUCCCCGAGUCAGUCAUUCGAUUUUUGAAACCAUAGUGAGUCCCAAUCAGAUACUUGAAAAUAUAAAUAUGAAGUAUUUGAAUGAAUAUGAAGUAUUUGAUAUUUUCAAGCAUCAAGUAUUUAUGUCAAGUAUUUGAUAUUUUCAAGCAUCAAGUAUUUAUGUCAAGUAUUUGAUAUUUUCUGUAAUAAAGAUACAGGAAGUUUUUCUGUAAAUUUAAACUUUAAGAAGUACUUUUUAAAGUACUUUUGAAGAAAUAACUAAUAUAAAUUUGAUUACACUGAACCAUAAUAAAAAUGUAGGAAAUGUUAACAUUUAGGUCCAAAUUCUGUAAAUAACUAAAUAUUAUAUCUGAAUAUAUGUAUAUUUUACAGAAAAUUUAAAGGUUUGAUUGAGGACGAACUUGGAGCCAUGUGAUUGAAUCAGGACAUCCCUAGUGGGAUGUUUGUGAAGGCGCUCAAUAGUCCGGAAAAUAUUUUCCAUUGUGAAAAAGUUUUAAAUAAGGCAACUGAACAUAAUGACAAUGCUUGAUAAACUUCAAAGUGGGAGCUCCAUUAUUUUCUAUUGUAUUUUAUGUUUUUGUGCAAAUGUCUCCAUUCAGUUUGUAUGAUAUACAGGUGGUGGAGGGGUUAUGUAAAAAUAAGCACAGCAUAAAUUCUAUGGGUUCCAAUCCCCCAUGUUCAAGUGGAGGGAAGUUGAGUGAUAUUUGUCACUGCUAAACAACUGGUAGAACUGAGUCUGUCAGUGUGGAAUGUGGAGUUGGAGGGGUAGAUUUCUACUUCCUCCUGGAGGGGGUUCCUCAUUUUCCACUGAGAGGCAAACCAGCAACAGCAAUGGCAAAUGCAGUGUUUUAUCGUUUUCCUGAAAUGUCUUUAACUAUGGACGAUUGGCACCAUAACCUCAAUUUCAUGGAUAUGUAUUGCUGCACUAAUGUUUUAUAGAAAACUUGUUGCACUUUUUUUUUUUUUUUUAAUAGAGAAGUUGUAUGUUGUUGGAACGUUAAUGUUUAUGUUUAUUUAAGAAAUUGGAGUAAAUACAUACAACUGUUUGAACAAAACAAAAUAAAUAACUGUUCUCUUUCAA